rnacentral:rRNA from 1 species
UACGUAAGGGGCAAGCGUUGUUCGGAAUUAUUGGGCGUAAAGGGCGUGUAGGCGGUUACGCAAGUCUGGUGUGAAAUACCUCGGCUCAACCGAGGGGAUGCGCUGGAAACUGUGUGACUAGAGUGAUGGAGGGGGAACUGGAAUUCCUGGUGUAGGGGUGAAAUCUGUAGAUAUCAGGAAGAACACCGGUGGCGAAGGCGAGUUCCUGGCCAUAUACUGACGCUGAGGCGCGAAAGCGUGGGGAGCGAACAGGAUUAGAUACCCCCGUA